rnacentral:lncRNA from 10 species
CGCGUCCUCAGGGACGGCCAGGGCCGGGCCGCGCGUCCUAGGCACCCGGAGCGAGCUGCGAAGCCGGACGGGACGGCGGGAGCCAGCUGGGCCAGCGCGGGGGCCGGGGAAGUUCAAGGCCCGGGCACUGCGCAGCGCCGAGCGGGAUGACCCGCCGUCUCCGGGGCGCCAGCGCCGGCUCGUUGCUCAACCUGCGGGAUUAGUCACUCGGGCUCAGACGUCUGUCCUAAGAAUGACCAGCCUGCAUUGCGGAUAAAGGAGGAGCUGUAGCCUCAAGAGAGACACUAGGGUGGGACUAGGUGGAGGUGCUGGGUGCCAGAUGGGGGAUAGGGCUCUGCUCCUUGCCCACGGCUCAGCCUGGCCCAGAAGGCUUGGGGUCACGUCUGGAUUGUGCCUGGGGCUGCCUUUGCCGUGUCGGUUGUCCACAGAGCCCAAACACCCAGACCCAGAACUCCUGAGACCCUGACCUAAGUUUGAUGGGGACGCAAAGGCCACUUGGCACCUGGAAGGGCUAUCGCUCCAACAGCAGAGGCAGAGGAGCCACACUAGCUGGUGAGGGCUGCACAAACGGGGCUGAAGGAGAGUCACAGCACGUGAGCAUUUGCUCAACAGCAUCCAAGCAGCAGAAAACCAGAGAGACACUAUUAAACCCGGAGGUAAGAGUGUGCACCCAGUGAGCUGGGCAUGGGGACAUCAUUUGACGAAUAUCUGCCCUUCACUGUCAUUCCAACAAGACUUGAACAUGAUUCUCAGUUUCAACAAGUCAGUCCGCUAUACAAAGCCAGAGGCUCUGUCUGGUC